GUGCUUUAUUUAAAGCAGACAGUAGGCAGCAAACAAGGAAGAGUUUGCAAACUACAUCUCGAAGGACGUUUUGUUUGUGUGUUGUCGUUUCUUGUGUUCCAUCUGGGAGGCUCUGUUGAUGUGUAUGGCUACCUGUAAGAGAGCACUGAUGAAGAAUGGAGAAGAUGUAAAAUAGAGCUCGCCAAAGGUUUUAAAAAUAAAUCAAGAAAUGAGUGAAUGAAGGCAGAAGCGCCCAGAAAGAAGGUCAGGACCCCAGUGGAUGCCAGAAACUGCAGAUACUGUCGGAUCCUACUUAUUCCUGCUCCUGAAUGUGCACAAUCAUCCCUUACUUCAAGAACACUGUGAAAUUAAGUAUCCUUACCACAAGAGCCAGCGAACUCAAGGCCAGGACCAGAGUGAAGUAAAUGAUUCACCGUGGUGCAGACCAGAAAGAGGCUCUUUCUUCACAUCGUGCAGGCUCGGGAUUAGCCUUCUUUGGUGUCUCCUUCCCUUCUCCAUCGGGGGAGCUUCCUGUGCCUCACUCCAGCUCAGCCAUUGAAAGAACUAUCCAGAUAUUACAGAUACAUCUUUCUGAUUGAACACUGACUGAUAAAGAAGUGAUAUUUGAGGACAGUUCCUACAAAGAAUUCUCGUAUUAUAAUGAAUGUUACUUAGAUGUCAACAUCACCUGCAAGAGAACACACAUAUUAUUUUUCAAGCAAAUCCUGAGCACGCUAUAAAAUUUAGAGGAAAGCAUGGACGUGAGGACUGAGAAAUGGAAACAAUGAGGAGCUCUGAGGAGUCCAGUGUCUGCCUUGCCAACGUGGGUGUGUAAUAUUUGAAGUAUGGAGAUGAGGACAACACAACGUAGUAUACUUUGCUGCUAUGUUUUGUUUGUUUGUUUGCUUGCUUGGUUUUUUUCCAUUUAGUUUAUUGGUACAUUUUAGCUAUACAAUACGGUUACAUUCAUCAUUGGGAUCUUGUAUCUUUACGUGGUGCAUCUUGGUUCUUAUUUUUUUCCCCAUUCCCCUGACCUCCUUUCACCCCCGCUACCCUUCCCUAUUUACAAAGACUUUGUUUCCAUGUUUUUCCUUUUCUCGUAUUUUUUCCUUUCCCUUCUUUCCUUUCCCCUUCCCCUCCCACUUCCCCUAUUCCUUUAGAUAUUUUCUUCCUAUUUCACUUGUUUUAACUAUAGAAGUUGGUUUCAGUAACUUAGGCCUCCAGUGUUGAAAAAGAAUGGGAGCAUGACUGAGGCCAAACCAGUGUCAUAUUAAUGUGAUUGGACAGAAACUCGCAGGCUGCCCAGAUAUUCUCAGCAAUUCAUCUCUCCUUUCCUCCAAGUAUCUGCCUGGACAGGUUAGGAUCCUAGAGGCCCUCCUCAUCUCAGUGCUGUUGCUUUAUAAGAGCUUAAAGGGAAUUCAUGAUGAGAGGAGCUUCCUGUUGUAUUAGAAAUAAAUAGAAGUGCUUGGUAGUCUUCAUUUUUUUCUGGAAAUCCAUGUACAGAGUCUCUUUUUCCUCUUCUAACUUCUUGUGUUCAUCUAGAGGGACACCACCGAGGGCCUUCAUCCAUCCUGUUACAGAUUAUAGACUGGGAAGCAGAUUUCCAAGGCACAAAUUUAAUUUACAAUAACUAGACACUGGACACAAACAACUAUUAGCAAAAGGCACAAAGGAACAACAUACCCCAUCUGAUGUGGAAUCAUUGGAACACAGAAAAAUAAUUUGAAAUAAACACAGUAAAUGUACUGAAAGAUAAAGGAAGAUGCCUUAACUCUUUUCUAUGAAAAAAGGAUAUAAAGAAAUAUGAACAAAGAACAGGAAAUCACAAAAAGAACCAUAGAAAUACAGGAAUGAAAAAUGAUAGAAAUAAAGAGCACAAUAGUUAGAAUAAACAAUAGGACAUAUGGAGAUUAAAAGAAGAUGAGAUUGAUGAAUUUUGGCAGGAAGCUGGAGAGAAAGAUUAUGAGAUUGAAAAUAUAAGAAGAGCUUCAAUGGACAGAUAUAAAAAUACCAGUAUCUGAGUAAAAGAAAUCCCAGAAAGAGGAAGAAAAUAGAAAACUGCCAAAGAAAUAAUUAAGAUAAAUUUUCUAGAAUUAGAAAAAGUGCUGAAAUGGAUCAAAUUUGAAAAGAUUAGGACAAGGAAACAACACAAAUAAGGACAACAUCACAUCUAGAUAAAGUGAAAUUUAAGGACAAAAAAGGUGAAACUAAAACUUUCAAAGAGAGAUCACCUACCAAGAAACUACACUGACCUUGUGUUGUUUUUUUUUACAAUAGUGGAAUCUAAAGGCCAAAAGUGUACAGGUUCUAAAUUUGUGAGAAAAAAAAACCCUAAAGGUGUAUAUUUACCCAAAUCUUCAUUUAAAUAUGAGGACAUACACAAAAUAUUGUGAGCCAUACUGGCCCUGCUUUUCUGUUACCCAAGCCACACACUAGAAAUAUACUUGAAAGAUCUCACUGAGUAAAAUAAAAAUUCAGAAGGAUCCUGUAAGUGAUAUAAAAAUGAAAGAAAUCAAAUAACUUGAUCAAAUUUAUUUUCUUAAAACAAGCUUGAGUAUAUGGAAAUUAUAUUCAUAACUCAAAC
rnacentral:lncRNA from 1 species